UUUCACCUCAAGUACGAGAGUCCAGUGCGGGACACCUGGCGAUUUCUGAGCCCCACACUGCUUUUAUCACCCAAAUAACCGCCUUCACAUAUGAUUAUUGUUUAAAGGGUUAAUUAUUGGGGCUUCUUGGCAUCAGGUAUGGGUCAGAAGCCGGUAAAUGCGCGGCUUUGAGUACGAUAAUCUAGCAUCGGUGCGCGGUAAAAAAUCAUAACACAGCUGAUCGUCCACGCAGUUCCUCCUUCACGACGUGUUUUGAGAGGUGCUUGCAGUGUUUUUGGCGGAGCGUGACACCAAGAUGACCUACCAGAAUGUGAGCAUCGUGCUGUCGCCCACCAUGCAGAUUUCUCACCGGGUGCUCAAUGUCUUCUUCCUCAACCGUGCCUACCUCUUUGGGGGAGUCGCCAUCAAAAAGUUUCGGGCGCCCAGCCGUACACGUGAACUAACAGUCUUGGCUUCAGGGCAGGUCGCUAAAAUGAAACCACUACAUGCGUGAGAUGACCCGCCCCGCCCCGCCCCACCUUCCUGGCCUGCCCGCCCCCUGGCAUAAAUUGUUUCCAGAAACCCCUAAAUGACCGACUCUUCCAUGCCUCAGAUGACCCGCCCUGCCCUGCGUCAUGACCUCCCGGCACACAUUGAAACCGUGCGCUGAAUGGAUGACUUUUUAAUGCUGGAGGUCCACUCCCUGACGCCCCGCCCUGCCCCGCCCUGCACGUCACGACCUGCCCCUGCGUCAGUUGAGCGGUGGCACUGCCCGGCACUUCCUCAAGAAGGCUCUCCUGCCCCUGACUGGCUGGUGUGACAGUCUGCUGCUUCUUGGUGAGUGUAAGAUGUCCGGCUAAGGAAACGCAGGGCGUGUGUGCUCCCGUUUACUGAGUGAGUGAGUAACUGACAAAGGUUCGCCUCGCGGGUGCCGGCGCUGGCGGAAAACAUCUCGUGCAUCCAACAUCCCCCCUCCAAGAUACAUCUGUGCCCAACAAUGGAUCUGAAAAUUAUUAUUCCUACUAGAAAUGAAUACAAUGCUAUGGACUGGGUGGGAGCAU